ensembl:snRNA U6 U6 spliceosomal RNA
GUAUAGCACAUUUUCUAAAAUUGGAAUGAUACAGAGAAGAUGAACAAGACCCCUCUGCAAGGAUGACAUGCAGAUUCAUGAAGUGUUCCAUAUUUUU